ACCACCUGCUCCACCUCUGUGGCCUCCUGGACCACCUAUGGGUCUUCCUCCUGGACCACCCCCAGGAGUUCCUCCAGGCAUUCCUGAGACCACCUGGAAUGCCAGGCCUCUGAGGGCUUUUACCCCAACAUUUACCUCCAGGACCACCAGUAGGCUGACUCCCGGCCCCUCUCCCAGGCCCUCUCCCACCUCCAGGUCUUUCUCCUGGGAACAACCACCAAAGCGACCUCCCCCUGCACCUUCAGGUAUCCCUCUUUCUCAUCCUGGCAGGAUGAUCCACCUUUGGUGCCUCCACAUAGACUUGCCCCUAUCCACCCUUGGUUUUUUCCACCAGCUCCCUUGCUAAACCCUGCGAUUUUCAGUGCACCACCCACCUUGAUUCGGCAACCCAAGGUGGAUGAUAUGAGUGUGGCCACCAUUGAGAAGAAAGCCACAACAACCACCAGUGCCAAGCCACAGAUCACUGCUAAUUCCAAGGCAGAGCUUACUUGAUUUGUGCCCAUGGCAUUGAGAGUAGAUCGGGAAAAUGAAAGGGCUACUGCCACUCCUCCAAGAAAAGUCAGUGGAUGAUUCUGCUGUGCCUCUUGCCAAAGCAGCUCUCAAAUCUGGUUCUUCCAUUCCUGUCUCAGUACAGACCAAGGAUGAUGUUUUGGGACUUUCAUGAAAGCUGGAAGGGUUACUGUGA
rnacentral:lncRNA from 1 species